rnacentral:rRNA from 1 species
UACAGGGGGGGCAAGCGUUGUUCGGAAUUACUGGGCGUAAAGGGUUCGUAGGUGGCCAACUAAGUCAGACGUGAAAUCCCUCAGCUUAACUGGGGAACUGCGUCUGAUACUGGAUGGCUUGAGUGCAGGAGAGGAAUGCGGAAUUCCAGGUGUAGCGGUGAAAUGCGUAGAUAUCUGGAGGAACACCGGUGGCGAAGGCGGCAUCCUGGACCGGUAUUGACGCUGAGGCGCGAAAGCCAGGGGAGCAAACGGG